UACGAGGGGGGCAAGCGUUGUUCGGAAUUAUUGGGCGUAAAGGGCGCGUAGGCGGUGCGGUAAGUCUGAUGUGAAAUCUCCGGGCUCAACUCGGAGUCUGCAUCAGAAACUGCCGUGCUCGAGUGUGGGAGAGGUGCGUGGAAUUCCCGGUGUAGCGGUGAAAUGCGUAGAGAUCGGGAGGAAGGCCGGUGGCGAAGGCGGCGCUCUGGAACGUUUCUGACGCUGAGGCUCGAAAGCGUGGGGAGCAAACAGG
rnacentral:rRNA from 1 species